rnacentral:lncRNA from 10 species
GUCUGAAAACCCGGGAACGGAGCCCAAUUUCCCUGCGGGAGAGCCACAUGUUCAUUAAAGGCCUCCAGGAAUUCUAAUCUUUCCCGAGCAUGGGCCACUUUCAGGGCCAUCUAUUAACCCCUGCAGAGCCAUGCUCCGUGGGAGCCACCCUGAGAAAGGCUGCUCAGCGACGGGACGUUUGUGGAAAGAGCCCAGGGAGUGCAGGAAUGCAUCCCUGUCACAAAGAGCCGCGCCCUGGGCCUUGCUGCCCUCUGGAGAGAGAAGGUGCCUAGCAACAGGAAUUAGCUAGUGAGGGGGAGGGAGGACUGCUGUGUAACUUAAAAGCCAACGAAUCUGACCAUCUAGUAACAGGAAUUAGCUAGUGAGGGGGAGGGAGGACUGCUGUGUAACUUAAAAGCAAACGAAUCUGACCAUCUAGCUUCUGAUCUCUGAUGGGAGAUGGCGUUCAUUCCUUCACUGAGCACGGACCUGUGGGGUGCCCAGCAUGGGAUGGUGCUCCCUGGCUCCUGUCCUCACGGGGCUUCCAGUCUACAAGCUUCAUCUCCUGUGUCAAUUCAGGCAAGAGGAAGAGAGAGGAGGAAGCUUCCAGAUCCAAGCCAGAGGAGGUGGAUGCAGCACCCAUCGCCCACAGCUUUGGGGCCUGGUCCAGCCUCUACCUGGCCGAGACACCCAACCCCAACCCCACCCACAUGGGCAUGCAGAAGAGUCUGAGACGGUGCACACUGACCUGCGGCAGAGUUACAGAAAGCCCUGGAAGCCCAACCCAUGGCCACACAUCCUUCAGGAGCCGUCCCGCCGCACCGGGUGGCUGGAGAGACCCUGUGUCCGCCACUCCCCCUGCCACAGGCCACACAGACCCUGCUGCACCGGGUGGCUGGAGAAUGAGACCCUGUGUCCACAGCCUGAGGCUGCCCCCGCCGCAGGGCACACAGACCCGUGAUCCGGGCAGCCCAUCCUGUCGGAGCCACCUCUGUAUGUAUCCAUAUGUGUGUGUGCUGUGUGUGAGUGUUAUAAGUGUGUGUCUGUGUGUGUUGUGUUGUCUGUGUGUAUGUUGUGUGUUGUGUGUUGCGUGUGUGUGUGUGUGUGUAUAG